GAGCAUACCUGUGAAGGAAAUGACGCUGCAAGAUUCUCAUGCAGGCACGUGGCUGGAAUGAGGACAUCCCUUUACAGAUACACCCAUCUGUGUUGCCUUACAGAAUGUGUGCUCUGACAUACCAGUGCAAGCAAUUCAACUUUAAUCUCUUCCAGCAAGAGCUAUUAGAAGGAAAGAUGUGGAAAAAUCUAUUUGCUUUCAGGAAGAUUUCUGAGUGCUCUUCCAUAACAAGUUACUUAAAUAUUUUAUGCAGGGUAAACAAAUAGAUUAUUUUACCCUCAUAAAAUAUCUAUUCGAAGGAGAUGCAUGUAUUAUAUAACAUCACAAUAGGACUGGAAGAUACUUAUCUAAGGAACAGAAAUGAUCAGCAAAUGGAUGUGUAAGUUUUUAGCCUGCUAAUUCUUUCUAUAUCUUCAAACUAAAUAGAACACAUAUUGUAAGUUAGUGUAUGUGCACAGAAGUAUAUUUGCAUUGUGACUCUCAAGCUUACGUACAUAUAUAGACAGUUGAAUCUAGCAUGAGGAGCGUAACUUGUAAUCUAAUGAAAUUCUCUAGGCUAUAAAUUUUGAUGAGAAGCUGUUUUUUUUUCAACAUUCGUGUCCUGUAUGUCAUGUGUUCUGUAAACCUGCUUUCUCAGAUGUUCCUUUCCCUGAACAACCUCUCUGAUUUGGUUCCUUCUAGACUUCCUUUCAGUUCCUGUCCCUUCAGUGACUGUCUAUAGGCUCAAAAUACCAUGUGGUGUAUUACAGUUGGCUCUCAGAAAAUACUUGGUACUGCUCUAGUUUAGUUACUCCCUUUGUAUCAGUUAAAAUCAGUAAUAAAAUAUAGGAGAAGCAGAGAAGCAGCAAGCUGUGGUACUGUGUACAGGCAGCUGCAUCUUGCCGUGGCUCAGCUAUGGGAUUUUUUUUACUUCAAAGCUGUUUUAUAUUACUUCCCUCCCAGUUACCAAUUCCUCUACCUCUGGAGUCCAACCUCAGCUAUAGAGGAAGAGAUUAAAAGAAGGGUGAAGUGAAGUUCUGUACUAGAAUUAAUAUUCUUGUCUUGGUUAACUGCAUAACUGAUCAGGGUGGGCUUGCUUUUGUUCUGUUUUUAUAUCAGGGCUGUCAUUCAGCAAUUAUCAGCCCUGUGACACUAGGGGCUCAAAUAGGCAUUGUAAGCUUUCUGCUUGCUCCCCACCCAUCCCCACCUACUGUCCAUCUACGCUGCCUUUAACAGAAGGUACCCUUUUGAGUUUUGUGCUUCAUUUCACACUUAUUGAUUUCUUCCUCUCUUAGUAGUGUAGCAUUGCUUUCUGUGAAACACAAAUUAAAUUGAUGUCACAUAAAAUCCUGAUAAUGGGAAGGAGCUUUUAAAGUAAUUUAACUUCUGUGCUUGAGAGAUCUGUUAAUUCUUGGAACAUCUUGUAAUAGGUUUUCUGUUUGUUUUUUUUAAUCCAAAAGAACCAUCUGAGAACUCUAUUUUUGGUACUGUUGUAAUACAUCGUAAUGUUUGUUUUCUCAGGCACUUACAGAUUAUAAUUUCUAAUGUAUGAUUCAUGUUAAACAGAAUUCACAGUACUCCGAUUGGAUAUUGCCAAAUGGCACUGUAGGCUGCUGGUGUAGUAGCCUACAUGCUGUAUUUGUUCUUAAACUUUUUUGUGGGUUUGCUUAAUUUAGCUUUUUGGGAGGGAUAUUCAACUGUUCAUAUUUAAUUACUAAUCACUGGGAAUGACUUAAAGACUGCCCCAAGACCGUACCACUGACAAUGAGGAUCAUUAUCAAAAUGACAUGCCAGUUAUGAAUAUGAUUUUUGUUGGCAGCACAAGUUGUCCUUGCAAAAUGAUAAAUUUAGUUUCUCUUGCAUGCUUUGUCUCUUGUUGAAAGUACCCCUAUUUCUUUAAAAACUGAGUAUUUUUCCAUUUUACAAUAACUUUUUUACUUAGUUCUGGCUGAUGUAUUUACUAGUUAGCACUGAAUGUAAUCACUAGUUUGCGGUGGUCAGAAAAGAGUGGAGCUUAAAAGGAAACACAGGAAAAAUAAACAACUGUGGAU
rnacentral:lncRNA from 7 species